GCGGGUGUAGCACAACGGCUAGUGCGCUUGCCUUCCAAGCAAGAUACGAGGGUUCGACCCCCUUCACCCGCU
rnacentral:tRNA from 5 species